rnacentral:lncRNA from 1 species
GAGGGUCUACACGGCUUCAUUUAACCCAGAAGUCUACACCAGAAUGGUUCUACUGCUUCAGAUUUACACCAGAGAGUCUACACCAGAGAGAGGUCUACUGCUUCAGAUUUACACCAGAGAAUCUACACCAGAGAGUCUACACCAGAGAGUCUACACCAGAGAGGGGUCUACUGCUUCAGAUUUACACCAG